AAAAGUAAGUAAGGGCACAUGGCGGAUGCCUUGGCUCUCGGAGGCGAUGAAGGACGUGAUAAGCUGCGAUAAGCUGCGGGUAGGUGCAAAUGACCUUUGAUCCGCGGAUUUCCGAAUGGGACAACCCGGUACUUUGAAGAAGUAUCAUCCUGCAUUGCAGGAGGCUAACGCAGGGAACUGAAACAUCUUAGUACCUGCAGGAAAAGAAAAUAAACAAUGAUUCCCCCAGUAGUGGCGAGCGAACGGGGAACAGCCCAAACCAUCCAUGUUACGGCAUGGGUGGGGUUGUAGGACUACGUCGUUGCAUGAAGACAUCAGAGAAGAACUUUCUGGAAAGAAAGACCAUAGAGCAUGACAGUUGCGUAUUCGAAUGUUGUCGAAGCAUAGUAGUAUCCUGAGUAGCGCGGAGCACGAGGAAUUCUGCGUGAAUCUGCCGGGACCAUCCGGUAAGGCUAAAUACUCCCGAGAGACCGAUAGUGAACCAGUACUGUGAAGGAAAGGUGAAAAGCACUUCGAACAGAAGAGUGAAAUAGUUCCUGAAACCAUGUGCCUACAAGCGGUCGGAGCACCUUUUGGUGUGACGGCGUGCCUUUUGCAUAAUGAACCUACGAGUUACUUUUUCCGGCGAGGUUAAGGAUUUCAGAUCUGCAGCCGAAGCGAAAGCGAGUCUGAACAGGGCGUAUAGUCGGAAGGAGUAGACGCGAAACCAAGUGAUCUACCCUUGGGCAGGUUGAAGGAUGGGUAACACCAUCUGGAGGACCGAACCAAUAAGCGUUGAAAAGCUUCUGGAUGACCUGAGGGUGGGGGUGAAAGGCUAAUCAAACUUGGAGAUAGCUCGUACUCCCCGAAAUGCAUUUAGGUGCAGCCUUGACUUAUACUGGCAUGAGGUAGAGCGACUGAUAAGAUGCGAGGGCUUCACCGCCUAUCAAGUCUUGACAAACUCCGAAUGCGUGUCAGUUCUAUGUCAGGAGUGAGGGCAUGGGUGCUAAGGUCCAUGUCCUAAAGGAGAACAAUCCGGACCAACAGCUAAGGUCCCGAAAUGAAUACUAAGUUGAACUAACGAAGUCAGAUUGCUAAGACAGCUAGGAUGUUGGCUUGGAAGCAGCCAUUCAUUUAAAGAGUGCGUAACAGCUCACUAGUCGAGGAGUUUGGCGUGGAUAAUAAUCGGGCAUAAGUAUUCUACCGAAGCUUUGGGAUGAGAAAUCAUCGGUAGGGGAGCAUUCCACUCGGCGUCGAAGGUGAAGCGCGAGCUUUGCUGGAGCGUGUGGAAAAGCAAAUGUAGGUAUAAGUAACGAUAAAGGGGGUGGGAAACCCCCUCGCCGAAAGACUAAGGUUUCCUGAUCAACGCUAAUCGGAUCAGGGUAAGUCGGGUCCUAAGGCUCAGCCGAACGGCGAGGCCGAUGGCAGAACCGGUUAAUAUUCCGGUACUACCUGUGGGAGUGACGUGGAGACGGAGUCGUGACAGCGCCGCGGACUGACGGAAUAGUCCGUUGAAGGGUGUAGAUGCUGAUUGUUCCAGGCAAAUCCGGAGCAAGAGUCGAACCUGAUAGUAUGGAGCGUUCUUAGAACAAUCCAAUAGUGCGUGUAAUCAUACUUCCAAGAAAAUCCGCUAAACUUAAUCCUGCAGGUACCCGUACCGCAAACGGACACACGUAGUCGGGUUGAAUAUACUAAGGCGCUUGAGUGAUUCACGGUUAAGGAACUAGGCAAACUGACCCUGUAACUUCGGGAUAAAGGGUCCUCGCUUAACGGCGAGGCGCAGAGAAUAGGUCCAGGCAACUGUUUAACAAAAACACAGGGCUGUGCAAAAUUGAAAGAUGAAGUAUACAGCCUGACACCUGCCCGGUGCUGGAAGGUUAAGAGGAGAUGUCAUCGCAAGAGAAGCAUUGAAUUGAAGCCCCAGUAAACGGCGGCCGUAACUAUAACGGUCCUAAGGUAGCGAAAUUCCUUGUCGGGUAAGUUC
rnacentral:rRNA from 1 species